rnacentral:rRNA from 1 species
AGCGAACGCUGGCGGCAGGCUUAACACAUGCAAGUCGAGCGGGCAUCUUCGGAUGUCAGCGGCAGACGGGUGAGUAACACGUGGGAACGUACCCUUCGGUUCGGAACAACUCUGGGAAACUGGAGCUAAUACCGGAUACGCCCUUAUGGGGAAAGGUUUACUGCCGAAGGAUCGGCCCGCGUCUGAUUAGCUAGUUGGUGGGGUAACGGCCUACCAAGGCGACGAUCAGUAGCUGGUCUGAGAGGAUGGUCAGCCACACUGGGACUGAGACACGGCCCAGACUCCUACGGGAGGCAGCAGUGGGGAAUAUUGGGCAAUGGGCGCAAGCCUGAUCCAGCCAUGCCGCGUGAGUGAUGAAGGCCUUAGGGUUGUAAAGCUCUUUUGUCCGGGACGAUAAUGACGGUACCGGAAGAAUAAGCCCCGGCUAACUUCGUG